rnacentral:rRNA from 1 species
AGUCGAACGCUUCUUUCCUCCCGAGUGCUUGCACUCAAUUGGAAAGAGGAGUGGCGGACGGGUGAGUAACACGUGGGUAACCUACCCAUCAGAGGGGGAUAACACUUGGAAACAGGUGCUAAUACCGCAUAACAGUUUAUGCCGCAUGGCAUAAGAGUGAAAGGCGCUUUCGGGUGUCGCUGAUGGAUGGACCCGCGGUGCAUUAGCUAGUUGGUGAGGUAACGGCUCACCAAGGCCACGAUGCAUAGCCGACCUGAGAGGGUGAUCGGCCACACUGGGACUGAGACACGGCCCAGACUCCUACGGGAGGCAGCAGUAGGGAAUCUUCGGCAAUGGACGAAAGUCUGACCGAGCAACGCCGCGUGAGUGAAGAAGGUUUUCGGAUCGUAAAACUCUGUUGUUAGAGAAGAACAAGGACGUUAGUAACUGAACGUCCCCUGACGGUAUCUAACCAGAAAGCCACGGCUAACUACGUGCCAGCAGCCGCGGUAAUACGUAGGUGGCAAGCGUUGUCCGGAUUUAUUGGGCGUAAAGCGAGCGCAGGCGGUUUCUUAAGUCUGAUGUGAAAGCCCCCGGCUCAACCGGGGAGGGUCAUUGGAAACUGGGAGACUUGAGUGCAGAAGAGGAGAGUGGAAUUCCAUGUGUAGCGGUGAAAUGCGUAGAUAUAUGGAGGAACACCAGUGGCGAAGGCGGCUCUCUGGUCUGUAACUGACGCU